rnacentral:rRNA from 1 species
UACGUAGGGGGCUAGCGUUGUCCGGAAUCAUUGGGCGUAAAGCGCGUGUAGGCGGUCCGGUAAGUCCGCUGUGAAAGUCGGGGGCUCAACCCUCGGAUGCCGGUGGAUACUGUCGGGCUUGAGUACGGAAGAGGCGAGUGGAAUUCCUGGUGUAGCGGUGAAAUGCGCAGAUAUCGGGAGGAACACCAGUGGCGAAGGCGGCGCUCUGGGCCGGAACUGACGCUGAGGAGCGAAAGCGUGGGUAGCAAACAGG